rnacentral:rRNA from 1 species
GGAGUUAGGAAAUGUAGACUCGCUAACAUCGGGUCUAUUUGACAAAGGCUCCAAAGGAAGCCACGGCUAACUCUGUGCCAGCAGCCGCGGUAAUACAGAGGUGGCAAGCGUUGUUCGGAAUUAUUGGGCGUAAAGAGCACGUAGGUGGGUUUGUAAGUCAGACGUGAAAGCCUUCUGUUCAACGGAAGAAUUGCAUCUGAAACUACAAACCUUGAGUGUAGGAGGGGAGAGUGGAACUUCUGGU